rnacentral:rRNA from 1 species
AACGAACGCUGGCGGCAUGCCUAACACAUGCAAGUCGAGCGAGACCUUCGGGUCUAGUGGCGCACGGGUGCGUAACGCGUGGGAACCUGCCCUUAGGUUCGGAAUAACUCCCCGAAAGGGGUGCUAAUACCGGAUAAUGUCUUCGGACCAAAGAUUUAUCGCCUUUGGAUGGGCCCGCGUUGGAUUAGCUAGUUGGUAGGGUAAAAGCCUACCAAGGCGACGAUCCAUAGCUGGUCUGAGAGGAGGAUCAGCCACACUGGGACUGAGACACGGCCCAGACUCCUACGGGAGGCAGCAGUGGGGAAUAUUGGACAAUGGGCGAAAGCCUGAUCAAGCAAUGCCGCGUGAGUGAUGAAGGCCUUAGGGUUGUAAAGCUCUUUUACCCGGGAUGAUAAUGACAGUACCGGGAGAAUAAGCUCCGGCUAACUCCGUG